UUUGGCUGUGUUGACGGUGGCUGUGGAGUGCAGUUUUAUGGUCCGGUGCUGCUUUCCUUUUUGUGCUGCUUAGUGGGUUUGAUGACUGUUUGCCUCUCAGUAUAUAUGACUUCUUGUACCCCAUGAUGGUAGCGGUGGGUAUGACUGUGACAAGCCCGUGCCUAUGAAGCAUUUUGUUCGGCGUGAUAUCCUGAUGGAUUCUCCCUCUCGUUCUAUGCUGUGAUUUGUUUGCUGCCGUGAGCUCUUGCUGCUGUCUUCGCGCUGUUAAAAGAGCGGCUGUCCAUACAGCCGCGCCGACGAAGUCAUCAACGUUUAUUAAAGGGGACUGCUGGUUUGAUUCUAUUACGUGCCUUUCUAGUGCCCUGCUUCAUGUUUUGGUUUAUUUCAUUAUUAGUUACCAUGGUUAAAUCAUUUAACCUUUUUCUUUUUUUUUUUUUUUCUUUAAGUUUGUGGAUAUUUGUUUGAUUGUAUUGCUUUGAUCUUUCUUUUUUUUUUUUUUUUUUUUUUUUUGUGAAACUAUAAUCUGUCGACAUGUGCAUGUUUAACCUAUGAAUGCAAUUCAAAUCGUGUGGUGAUUUUACUGUAUAGAAGUUGGUGUUUGUAACAAUUUCAGGUGAUUAACUAUCUGAUUUUUUGGUUACAUUGUUGCUUCUCCUCACUUUUGUUUGUUGAUACCACUUAUGUGAGGAGUUGCUGCAUUGAUGUUCAUAUUGCCAUUUCUGUCCAGUUUAUUUUCUGUCCAGUUUAUUUUCUGUCCAGUUUAUUUUCUGUCCAGUUUAUUUUCUGUCCAGUUUAUUUUCUGUCCAGUUUAUUUUCUGUCCAGUUUAUUUUCUGU